rnacentral:lncRNA from 1 species
GCCCUUAUUCCGGUUCUUAGAUUAACAUUUCUGUCGGUAUCGCAGGGACACCUCCGAGGAUGCGGCCGACCGACGCCGAGAUCCGACAGUACGCAGCGAGGAAGAGGCCGGCAUCGGGGGCGGGACCUUCGCGUCCACCGAAGAAGCCCACCCCAGCGGCGCCGACCGUCGAAGCAUCGGCGACCGACCAGUCGGAGCCGGUAAUAGCGC